GACGAACGCUGGCGGCGUGCUUAACACAUGCAAGUCGAACGAUGAAGCGGGUGCUUGCCCUCGUGGAUUAGUGGCGAACGGGCGAGUAACACGUGAGUAACCUGUCCUUUUCUUUGGGAUAACGGCUGGAAACGGCUGCUAAUACUGGAUAUUCAGGCUGCAUCGCAUGGUGUGGUUUGGAAAGGUUUUUUCUGGGAUUGGGUGGGCUCGCGGCCUAUCAGCUUGUUGGUGGGGUGAUGGCUUACCAAGGCUUUGACGGGUAGCCGGCCUGAGAGGGUGGUCGGUCGCACGGGGACUGAGAUACGGCCCAGACUACUACGGGAGGCAGCAGUGGGGAAUAUUGCACAAUGGACGAAAGUUUGAUGCAGCGACGCCGCGUGGAGGGUGUAGGCCUUCGGGUUGUGAACUCCUUUGUCUCGCGAAAAAGGCACAGUUUUGGCUGUGUUGAUGGUAGUGGGGGAAGAAGCGCCGGCUAACUACGUG
rnacentral:rRNA from 1 species